UACGGAAGGCAGCAGUGGGGAAUAUUGCACAAUGGGCGAAAGCCUGAUGCAGCUAUGCCGCGUGUAUGAAGAAGGCCUUAGGGCUGUAAAGUACUUUCAUCGGGGAGGAAAAAACAAAACUAAUAAUUUUAUUUCUUGACGUUACCCGAAAAAGAAGCACCGGCUAACUCCGUGCCAGCAGCCGCGGUAAUACGGAGGGUGCUAGCGUUAAUCAGAAUUACUGGGCGUAAAGAGCACGUAGGUGGUUUUUUUAAGUCAGGAUGUGAAAUCCCUGGGCUUAACCUGGAACUGCAUUUUGAAACUGAAAUACUAGAGUAUCGUAGAGGGAGGUAGAAUUCUAGGUGUAGCGGUGAAAUGCGUAGAUAUCUGGAGGAAUACCUGUGGCGAAAGCGGCCUCCUAAACGAAUACUGACACUGAGGUGCGAAAGCGUGGGGAGCGAAACAGGGAUUAGAUA
rnacentral:rRNA from 1 species